UUGAGGCCACUGAAGCAGGCUCUAAACGACAUCGUUUCUUACACCGUAUAUAAUCCAUUUUAAAACUCUAAAUCAGUAGCCAUUUAUCAGUUUUAAAACAAACUUAAAAAACAAACGCCUCUGCCUCCCAAAACGCUGCUAAAAAAUCAGGCCAUUUUAAGGCCUUUCAAAUCUCACCAAAAACCCCGAUCGCGAUGGAGCAGGCAGACUCAAUAACACCAGGUAAUUUCCUCGUCUCUUGAUUAUUUCUUUUUUCUUUCCUUUUUUUCGCACACGACUAAUGAAUAAAAAAUAGAACAGAAAAGAAAAUCCAGUGAAAAAAAGAAAAAUCUGAAAUCGCCUUUCGAAUAUUCUCUUUUUUGCUUAGAUUUCUUUGGUAUAUUUUUUGAUUUCGUAUCCGUUCCCCUCCACAAAUCUCCAAUUGGCUUUUGUAUAGCCGAAUAUAAAAUUACAAAAAUUAUUUAGCUAUUUUUUUCUGCCAUUCUAAUGUAUUUUUUCUGUUAUUGCCUUGGCUGCUAGUUUGUUGCGUUUGCAGGUACAGCCAGCUGGAGGUGCACACGUGUGGAGGCGCCUGGAUGAGGGCAGCGGCUGGUAGCGCACAUGCGUGGAAGGGCUUAGCUGCGGUGGCUGAAGUUUGCUCUAGAAACCUUAGGGGUUUCUGAAAACUGCUUUGGGCUUCAAUGUAAUUGGGCUGGGGUUUUGGGUUAGGGAACUUUAGGCAGUUAUUUGUUUGUAAUCUGGACUAGGGUAAUACGGGCUUGCUAGAAUUUGUAAGUGGACUUUUGUUUAAAAAUGAACUUUAUUUUUAACUUAUUCUUUAGUUUAAUUUUUUUUGUUUGCUUUUGGUCCCGGGCUAAUUGGGCCUGUUAUAGAAACUAUGGAUUUGGUAAAAAAAUU
rnacentral:lncRNA from 1 species